GAUGAACGCUGGCGGCGUGCUUAACACAUGCAAGUCGAACGAUGAAGCCCAGCUUGCUGGGUGUGUUCGUGUCGAACGGGUGAGUAACACGUGAGUAACCUGCCCUUAACUCUUGGGUAAGCCUUGAAAACUGGGUCUAAUACCGGGUAGGAGAGUCCACCACACAGUGUGGGUUGUGGAGAUUUGUCGGUUUUGGAUGGACUCGCGGCCUAUCAGCUUGUUGGUGUGGUAAUGGCUCACCAAGGCGACGACGGGUAGCCGGCCUGAGAGGGUGACCGGCCACACUGGGACUGAGAUACGGCCCAGACUCCUACGGGGGGCAGCAGUGGGGAAUAUUGCACAAUGGGCGGAAGCCUGAUGCAGCGACGCCGCGUGAGGGAUGACGGCCUUCGGGUUGUAAACCUCUUUCAGUAGGGAAGAAGCGAAAGUGACGGUACCGGCAGAAGAAGCACCGGCUAACUACGUG
rnacentral:rRNA from 1 species